rnacentral:rRNA from 1 species
AAAUUGAAGAGUUUGAUCAUGGCUCAGAUUGAACGCUGGCGGCAGGCCUAACACAUGCAAGUCGAACGGUAACAGGAAGAAGCUUGCUUCUUUGCUGACGAGUGGCGGACGGGUGAGUAAUGUCUGGGAAACUGCCUGAUGGAGGGGGAUAACUACUGGAAACGGUAGCUAAUACCGCAUAACGUCGCAAGACCAAAGAGGGGGACCUUCGGGCCUCUUGCCAUCGGAUGUGCCCAGAUGGGAUUAGCUAGUUGGUGGGGUA